UCUCUCCCUCUCCUUUCCUCUCUUCUUCUUCUUCCUUUCUCCGGUGACCGGCCAGCGACGUUCCAAGCAGUUCCCCACCCGGCCGGCGACCCUCCGGCGAUGGCCAGACCACCAGAAAACGGCGGCAAGAGAGGGAGAAGAGAGAGAAAACGCGUGCACAGUGGGCAGCGGCUUUCUGGCGCGAUUUCGGCUUCAUCCGACGUUCGAUCGAGGCGAUUCCGGUGGCGUUGGAAAGCUUGUUCCGAGAGCUUUCUUUUGAUACCAAUUUUGAAGCAAAUGGAGGUCGGAUGAGUGAGAUAUGGAUGAGAGAAGUUUCGGGUUUUUCAAGUUUUUCGUCAGAUCUAUGACGAUCCGACCGUUGGAUCGACGAUCCGAGACCACCUGUGGACUGAGGAAGAGGAGAGGAACAUGGUGGUAUGAUCAGAUUCGGCAAAUGUUGCCGGGGACCGGCGGCCGGCCACCGUGCGCGGUGGUGCCGGCGGUGGCUCCGGUGAGCUAUGGAGAUGGUUCAACUUCCAGAGGCUUCCUCAUAAAUUUUUGGAAUUUUUGAGACACAGAUAAACUUCGGGUGAUCGAGGUCAGCUAUUUUUCUGCAUCCAGCAGCCCCAAUAGUCAUCGGUGUACUGUGAGUAAAAUAUUAAUUUUAAUUGUAAUUUCACUAUUAUUAUAUGUUCAAGCAUGCCCAUGCAUCACUUAUAUGCAUAUAUUUAUGUAGAUAAACUCUAGGCACGUUUUAUGUUGCAUUCACAACUGUUAAAGUGCCAUGUAUGUUGUUGUGGUAAUUUGGAGCAGUGUGCGUGCGUUGGCGUGAGUGUGAUGUGGUGUGGACUAUGGAUAGGACGGGUAGACACGGCUUGAGAUCUUCGCUGGGACCCGGUCCUUCGGGGUAGACACGGCUUGAGUUCUUCGCUGGGACCCCGAUUUGGUUAUUAAGUGGAAGUCCAAGCUGAGUUCUUCGCUGGCACAGUUGGAAUUAAGAGAGCUGUAUAGGGGAUCAGCUCCCAUAAAUUAUGAUUGAUAUUAGUGGGUGUGUGAGUGCUCCAAAUUACCUUUUUGUUGUUAUGAUAUGAAAAUUAUUGCUGAUGUUGCAUUUCAUCCUACAGGGUGCAUUAGCUUGAGAUAGUUAUAGAGAUUAUGGUUAAAAUUGAUAUUUUACUCUCUGAGUCGAACGCUCAUUCCUGUUCAAUAUUUUUCCAGGCCACAGGAGGAGUUAUUUUACAGAGCAACCUGUUUCCUUCCUCGCAGGUUUAACGUCGAUUAUUUAAUUGUUUUACUAUCUUUUCUAAAUUUAAAAUCUAGAACUCCGCAUGUGUUAGUAAUAGUGUGGACCUUGUUAGAAAUUGUGUUAAUAUAAAUUUUUGAAAUUUAUAAAUGAAGAUUUGUAUGAUAUUUAAACUGUUUGUAAAUGAGGUAACAGGGUUGAGCUGGGCUCCCCUGAUUUUAGUUUCUGAAAAA